GACGAACGCUGGCGGCGUGCUUAACACAUGCAAGUCGAACGGAAAGGCCCUGCUUUUGUGGGGUGCUCGAGUGGCGAACGGGUGAGUAACACGUGAGUAACCUGCCCUUGACUUUGGGAUAACUUCAGGAAACUGGGGCUAAUACCGGAUAGGAGCUCCUGCUGCAUGGUGGGGGUUGGAAAGUUUCGGCGGUUGGGGAUGGACUCGCGGCUUAUCAGCUUGUUGGUGGGGUAGUGGCUUACCAAGGCUUUGACGGGUAGCCGGCCUGAGAGGGUGACCGGCCAAAUGGGACUGGGGUACCGGCCCGGAUCCUUACGGGGGGAAGAGGGGGGAAAUAUGCAAAAAGGGGCGGAGCCUGAAGGAAGCAACCCCGGGGGCGGAAGGACGGCUUUCGGGUGGAAACCGGCUUUGGCUUGUAAGGAAGCGUGAGGACGGGAAAUGGGAAAAGAAGCACCGCCAAACUCGUG
rnacentral:rRNA from 1 species